AAAUUACUUGACAGUUCCAUUAUCCGGCUAAACUCCUAUUGGACUGAAGCAAGCAACAGUUCUGAAUGCUUUUUGUCCUGAAGAACUUGGCUUGAGAUAAUUAUUGGCUGAGCUUGAAGUUGAGUAACUGGAACAUGAAAGUAGGGCUGCUCAGAAGAGGGCCAGCAAGCCCCGCCUGCUGCCUUAGACAAUGUGUGUCCUCAUCAGAGUCCUACUCAAGAAUUCAUGUCAUCAAAAAUGCUGCCAUAUCUGGCUGUGGGACCUAGGUCUGUGCAGCCGUCUUGCCACUUUGAGGAAGCUGGCCUGAAGAUAUGUCCACAUAAUGACGAUGGCAGAGCAGAAAUAAAGGCACGACAUGGAGAAGCUGUGUUGACCAAUCUUCAGGUUAUCCUGCCUCAAGCCUCUUUUUAUAAUUCCAGUGAGCUGACUUUCAGAGUUCUCGCGCUGGCAGUGUCCCCAGGGCUUGCAUUAGGUGCGUGCACUUUCUUCUGCUCCAGCUGCAAAGAUACUCCAAAGCAAGACUCCACCACAGUUGUGUGCUGCCGGCGGACAGCAGAUGACUCGCCAGGCUGCCCUCUGGGUCUCCAGCAUUCACAGACACAGAAGCACAUCUGUUUACCACCCUAUGCCCAGUGCCUGGCCCAUGGUCAGGCCUUCAUUUUUAAGCCUCUGGGGAGAAACAGCAUAUGGAGGAGGAAGUCUCAAGAGAUGAAAAUUCAUCUGCCCUGUGGCCUUAAAAGGGAGAAAUGGAGGAGUCAAUGUCAAAGGUUAAUCAGCGUCCACCAGUUGAUCCAGCCAUUCACCUCUCAAGGUUUCUGAGCUGCUCUCUGGAUACUGCAGGAAUCCAGACCAUUGCUCAGGUGUCUGCAGAAAAGGGGCAAACAGUCACUGUUACAAGGCAACAGUGGGGAAAAGAUGAAAGAAACUAUCAACUACUUCUCAGUAACACAGACUCCUACACUUACAAGAGCUGCCUUUUACCUCACACGACCGCAGUCUCCUCCACAUUAUUCAAAGCAGCCCUCAUCCCCCCUAGAUUGUCUCACAUUUUUAAGUUGAGUCCAAGUUUCCCUCUACAAUUUCUUCAGUGUUGAUUUGGGAGAAGGGAAUUUACAAGCUCAUGAUGAUUACUAUAUUGAUAGGAACCGGAAGUUCCUACCAAUAAGGGGAAAAAUAAAAACACUAUAAAUAUCCAUGAAUAAGGCAAUGGUUAUAUUAAUUGUGAUGUAUUUAUAUCAUAGAAUACUCUGCAUCUGUUUAAAAAAAAUGAGGUGGAUUUAAAUGCACUGAUAGAGGAAGAGGACCAUAACAUUGUAAUAGAAAUGAAGCAGGAAAAUACAUAUACCGUGAUGUCAUUUUGUAACAUCUUUACGAAUACGUAUUUGUAUAUAAGCAUAAGAAAAGUCUCAGUGGAUAUACACUUAGUAAAAAUUGUCAGAGUUGGGUAAACAAAUCAGAAGAGACUUUCACUUUUUGCUUUACACAUAUUUAAAUUAUUUGGAUGCUUUCUAAGUAUUUAUUAUGUGUCACAAUGAAUCCUUAAAAAAAUGGAGAGGAUAGAUUCUUAUAACCAUACUGGGUGGAAGGUCCCCUUACAGGAUGCUACUUCAUUCUUCCUAAGUGUCCCACACAUUGUACACAUCUCUUUUCUGUCCCUUUUCCACAAAAGCAAAAAAUUCCCUUGCACUCUAUCCUGGGAAAUUGUCAGUUGUUGAUAAUUGUUGGUUGUUUAUUGAGUAAAUAACAUUAAUAAAUGAAUGAAUGCAUGAAAUAAAACUGGAGAAGCUAUAUCAAAUAAAAUUACA
rnacentral:lncRNA from 1 species